UGCAAGUCGAACGAGAGAUGAGGAGCUUGCUCUUCAAAUCGAGUGGCGAACGGGUGAGUAACGCGUGAGGAACCUGCCUCAAAGAGGGGGACAACAGUUGGAAACGACUGCUAAUACCGCAUAAGCCCACGGCUCGGCAUCGAGCAGAGGGAAAAGGAGCAAUCCGCUUUGAGAUGGCCUCGCGUCCGAUUAGCUAGUUGGUGAGGUAAUGGCCCACCAAGGCGACGAUCGGUAGCCGGACUGAGAGGUUGAACGGCCACAUUGGGACUGAGACACGGCCCAGACUCCUACGGGAGGCA
rnacentral:rRNA from 1 species